rnacentral:rRNA from 1 species
UGGGGAAUUUUGGACAAUGGGGGAAACCCUGAUCCAGCCAUCCCGCGUGUGCGAUGAAGGCCUUCGGGUUGUAAAGCACUUUUGGCAGGAAAGAAACGUCAUGGGUUAAUACCCCGUGAAACUGACGGUACCUGCAGAAUAAGCACCGGCUAACUACGUGCCAGCAGCCGCGGUAAUACGUAGGGUGCAAGCGUUAAUCGGAAUUACUGGGCGUAAAGCGUGCGCAGGCGGUUCGGAAAGAAAGAUGUGAAAUCCCCGAGCUCAACUUGGGAACUGCAUUUUUAACUCCCGGGCUAGAGUGUGUCAGAGGGAGGUGGAAUUCCGCGUGUAGCAGUGAAAUGCGUAGAUAUGCGGAGGAACACCGAUGGCGAAGGCAGCCUCCUGGGAUAACACUGACGCUCAUGCACGAAAGCGUGGGGAGCAAACAGG